rnacentral:snoRNA from 1 species
ACAUCUGUGGUCUGUGAUGCAUUUCUGUGAUUCUGAUUUAAUCAUGAGGUGUUCCACAGCCUUCGUCACUACCACUGAGACCACAUUAU